ensembl:lncRNA
CACUUUUACUCGUUCGGAGCUGGUGCUUUGGUGGAGGAAAACCAAAGAAGCGAUUUGAAACUAGGCUCUGGCUCCGAACUAGCAGCGGUUCUGCCUUGGUGGAAAAGGGGUACGAGUCAUCACUGCCUCUUAGAACAUUACGUAUUUAACUAAAUGUUUUCUUUAUCAUGGUGACAAACAUAUUGAGGAUAUUAAGAACCAAGGACACAUGAGAGGAGUAAUUGCUAUUCAAGUGAUCCUUUUAUAACUGGCGUUGGUAGACAAUGGCUCUGGUUUCAUACAGACGGCUGGAGCUCGUGGCCCCCCAGGAGGCACCUUUUGGCUCAUCAGGCAACUUGCUCCUCCCCCCCUGUGCGCCGGUCCGAUUGUCUGCCCCGCCCCUGACUGUCCCCACCUGUCCCCUUACCCUGUGUGUGCAUGUGGGCCGCGUCUCCCUUUGUCCUGCGCCAGUCUGUCCCGUGUCACAGAUUCUGUUGAUUCAUUCAUUCUAGAUCCUUUUGUUCUUAGAUUUAGCAAAGGGCCUUUUUCCUCUUCCCGAGAGUGAU